rnacentral:misc_RNA from 1 species
GAUGAAGAACGUAGCGAACUGCGAUAAGUAAUGUGAAUUGCAGAAUUCAGUGAAUCAUCGAAUCUUUGAACGCACAUUGCGCCCCCUGGUAUUCCGGGGGGCAUGCCUGUCCGAGCGUCAUUACAACCCUCAAGCUCAGCUUGGUGUUGGGCCCCGCCGCCCCGGCGGGCCCUAAAGUCAGUGGCGGUGCCGUCCGGCUCCGAGCGUAGUAAUUCUUCUCGCUCUGGAGGUCCGGUCGUGUGCUCGCCAGCAACCCCCAAUUUUUUUCAGGUUGACCUCGGAUCAGGUAGGGAUACCCGCUGAACUUAAGCAUAUCAAUAAGCGGAGGA